UCCCGGGUAGCUCAGCUGCUAAAGAAUCCACUUGCAAAGCAGAACACCCAGGUUCAAUUCCUGGUCUAGGAA
rnacentral:tRNA from 1 species